AGUGAACGCUGGCGGUAGGCCUAACACAUGCAAGUCGAACGGCAGCACAGUAAGAGCUUGCUCUUACGGGUGGCGAGUGGCGGACGGGUGAGGAAUACAUCGGAAUCUACUUUUUCGUGGGGGAUAACGUAGGGAAACUUACGCUAAUACCGCAUACGACCUACGGGUGAAAGCAGGGGAUCUUCGGACCUUGCGCGAUUGAAUGAGCCGAUGUCGGAUUAGCUAGUUGGCGGGGUAAAGGCCCACCAAGGCGACGAUCCGUAGCUGGUCUGAGAGGAUGAUCGGCCACACUGGAACUGAGACACGGUCCAGACUACUACGGGAGGGAGCAGUGGGGAAUAUUGGACAAUGGGCGCAAGCCUGAUCCAGCCAUACCGCGUGGGUGAAGAAGGCCUUGGGGUUGUAAAGCCCUUUUGUUGGGAAAGAAAAGCAGCAGGUUAAUACCCCGCUGUUCUGACGGUACCCAAAGAAUAAGCACCGGCUAACUUCGUG
rnacentral:rRNA from 1 species